AUUGAACGCUGGCGGCAGGCCUAACACAUGCAAGUCGAACGAGUGGCGGACGGGUGAGUCAUGUCUGGGAAACUGCCUGAUGGAGGGGGAUAACUACUGGAAACGGUAGCUAAUACCGCAUACCAUCAGAUGUUCCCAGAGGGGAUUAGCUAGUUGGUGGGGUAACGGCUCACCAAGGCGAAGAUCCCUAGCUGGUCUGAGAGGAUGACCAGCCACACUGGAACUGAGACACGUGCCAGACUCCUACGGGAGGCAGCAGUGGGGAAUAUUGCACAAUGGGCGAAAGCCUGAUGGAGCCAUGCCGCGUGUAUGAAGAAGGCCUUCGGGUUGUAAAGUACUUUCAGCGGGGAGGCGUUACCCGCAGAAGAAGCACCGGCUAACUCCGUGCCAGCCGCCGCGGUAAUUC
rnacentral:rRNA from 1 species